rnacentral:rRNA from 1 species
CAGUCGCCACGGUAAUACGAAGGGUGCAAGCGUUAAUCGGAAUUACUGGGCGUAAAGCGUGCGUAGGCGGUGAGUUAAGUCUGCUGUGAAAUCCCCGGGCUCAACCUGGGAAUGGCAGUGGAUACUGGCUCGCUAGAGUGUGUCAGAGGAUGGUGGAAUUCCCGGUGUAGCGGUGAAAUGCGUAGAGAUCGGGAGGAACAUCUGUGGCGAAGGCGACUAUCUGGGCCAACACUGACACUGAGGCACGAAAGCGUGGGGAGCAAACAGGAUUAGAUACCCCUGUAGUCCCUGUCUCUUAUAC